rnacentral:sRNA from 1 species
GCCGGGCAGGGUGGUGCACGCCUGUAAUCCCAGCUACUCAGGAGGCUGAGGCAGGAGAAUUGCUUGAACCCAGGAGGCGGAGGUUGCAGUGAGCCGAGAUUGCGCCACUGCACUGCAGCCUGGGUGACAGAGCGAAACUCCGCCUCAAAAAAAAAAAAAAAAAACUACCUAAGACUGGGUAAUUUGAGACAGGGUAUCACUCUGUCACCUAGGCGUGAGUGCAGUGGUAGAUCACUGCUCACUGCAGCCUCAACUUCCUGGGCUCAAGCAAUCCUCCUGCCUCA